rnacentral:pre_miRNA from 1 species
AGUGUGAUUACUGGAUCAUAUGGUAUGCUUAGCUUUGUAAUGAACUGCCAAACUCUUUUCCAAAGUGGCUGUACCAUUUUGCAUUCCCACCAGCAAU